UACGGAGGGGGCAAGCGUUAUUCGGAUUUACUGGGCGUAAAGCGCACGUAGGCGGCAUGGUAAGUCACAGGUGAAAGCCCUCGGCUCAACCGAGGAACUGCCUUUGAAACUGCCUUGCUUGAGUCCGGGAGGGGGGAGCGGAAUUCCCAGUGUAGCGGUGAAAUGCGUAGAUACUGGGAGGAACACCGGUGGCGAAGGCGGCUCCCUGGACCGGUACUGACGCUGAGGUGCGAAAGCGUGGGUAGCAAACAGG
rnacentral:rRNA from 1 species